GUCUUUAUUCUAUAAAUGCUUCAACUCUCAGCAAGCAAUGGGACAAGAUGGGGCCUUUUUUGGAAAGAACUGUAGCCUCUUUUCGCCUUCUACCUCCAACUGGUAACUAUGCUCCUCCAUACAAGGAUCCAUGGAGAUUUUGGUG